AUGGCGAGUGCGCCACUGCACAUCCUCCAGCUAUGGGUCUGGGAGCGCUUCCCGGAGCUUCGUCCUGAGGCUGAGAUACCAAGCACUGCCUCCCACGGGGAUGAUCCCGGCAUGCCGAGGGCUGCCAAGUGGCACAAUGUCAGAAAUCCGCUUGAUCCUGGGUACAUCCACGCCGUGCUCAUGUCCCCGGAGGAGUUCGAAUGGAGGCCUUAUGGAGGCAGUAGCUUUGCUCUGCCACAAGGCAAAGAUGGCUGCUGGGUGCACUGCCAUGAUGUAGCAACAAGCAAGGAGCUGCAAUCCUUUGCACAGUGUCUGCUACCCUGCGAGCUCGUCGGCAUGCAAUGCAUCGAGCACUACUGUCCGCACCGUGUCGCAAGGCAGCUGGGCUUCGAUCAGGACGUGCCGGGGACCGUCACCCGUGCCAAUUCAUGUCGAAAGACCGCGUGGGCGACAUACAGGAUGCGGCCUGAAGACGUUUCGUUCUUCGUUCCGCGACGUGAUCCGGGCAUGACGGUUGAAUACGCACAAUGGUGGAAGCCUUACUCGUCGGCAUGUGCUGCUGCUGUUGCUAAUGCUGCAAGGAUGAAACAACCUAAUGUUGCUGGUGAUGGUCUCAGUCUCAGUGGUGUAGAUUGUGGCAAAAAGCGUCACUUGGAGGCUGGGAUGACUCCGCAAGAUGAUAUAGAGGACGAGAUUCCGCUGGCGGAGAGGCUGAAUAGUGUCAUUCUAAAGACGCAAAGCCAGGAUACAGAGACUCGUAUUUUGGAAGAUGGCGAGACAAAGCAAAAUUCAGAGGCAGUUUUGUCUGAUUUGGUGGCAAGCCGGGUAAGAAAAGGUAGACGUAGGGUAAUCUCACACAAAGUUGCUGAGCAAGCUUUGCCUGAUUCAGAGGCAGUUUUGGUGAGUGCAGUUGAUCAUAAACCAUUGUGUGGGCCGGUCACCAAGAAUGAGCAUUUUGAAAAGCAAGCAUCGGCCUCUGUUUUUACGUGUGAUGAGAAGAAUGUCAGUUCAGAACAUGGUGAAGUCGAGGGUGCAGUGAGCGCUAGAAGCAACAAAGGCAUUGGAGCUGCAAUUGGAGUGGACGUGUAUUCAAAUCUUCCAGAUAUCCUGGCGAUCAGUGAUAAUGAGUUGGAUGAAAUAUUCGGAAAGGAAAGCGAGGCAACUGCAAUUUGUAUGGAAUUAUCAAAGUUAUCGAUGGCAACAUCCAACUCAGACCAGCCAAUAAGAAGAGAUGAGCAGGACUGCAGUGAGUCCAAGGAUAUCAUGGUGCAAAAAAAUUGUAAUUAUGAGCUUCCUGCUGUCCAAAGUGAUAGCACCCUCAGACAAGAACCAGAUAAAACACGCGAUGUAAUGGAAGAGGGAGAUCAGAGAGCGAAGGUGGACAGAGAAAACUCAGCUGUUUUCAAAGGAAACAAUGAUGCAUCUUCUAGUGGUCUAGUAUAUGGAAAUGAUGAACUGGUCAAGAGAGUAAUUUCUACUAAAACACUCUACUAUCUUAGACCAUUCGACUGGGUGAAAGAUGCCCAGGUCAGAGAUUCAAGAGCCACCAAUGCAGGUCAAGUGAUUCUCCAACCAGGACGGGAAGUCGGGACACCGGAAAUGAUUAGAGAGGCGUCUGAAGCUCGAGAAGCAGAAAAGGUUGAGUUGGAAACAAUAAUUGAUUGUCUCAAGGAAGAAAUUGUCGCGCUAGAGAUGCAGUUGAGGGACAGGACAACGUCUAAAAUUUGA
rnacentral:rRNA from 1 species